GGAUACCCACCAGAAAGACUAAUCCAAACCAUAAUGAUGUGCCGGAAAAUAGAACAUUUUUGUUACCCGACCAACCCUCAGGAUAAGCAAAUGCAACGUCUACACUAAUCAGUAAGAUUAAAGAAGUAGCAAUUAAUGCAAAACCAGCCAAUAGGGAAGCAAUAUUCAUGUGCGUAAUCCUCCAAUCUACCAACAAAAGAAUUAUACCAUUUGAUCCCCUUAUCAACCAAAAACUUGUACACCUUAUAUACUUCUUUUGGGCAACCCUCUCAACAACUAAGAGAUCCAUUCGAGGAACACGGGGACUAGUUGAAAUAAUGACAAAUCAUUUCACCUUUUUAGUUGGAACUUUAGGCGGGUCUCGAAAAAAGAUAGCGAAAAAAAUUAUUCCUAGAGUUGAGACUAAAAGGAAUGUAUAAACCAAUGCUUCCAUAGAUUCGAUCGUGGUUUACAAUUAUAGCUUCCAUACCUGUUUAUUUGGGAUCGUCUCCCGGAUAAAUAAAGAACAAGAGUCAAAGAAAAGGCAGUGAUUCAAAUCAAGAUUUAUCUGGUACCCCAUCUAAAAAUCACAAAAAGAAAAUAAAAAUGAAAA